GAUGAACGCUGGCGGCGUGCCUAACACAUGCAAGUCGAGCGGCAGCGAGGGGUGCUUGCCCCCUGCCGGCGAGCGGCGGACGGCUGAGUAACGCGUGGGAACGUGCCCCAAAGUGAGGAAUAACUGCCCGAAAGGGUAGCUAAUACCGCAUAUUAUCUUCGGAUCAAAGGAUUUAUCCGCUUUGGGAGCGGCUCGCGUCGGAUUAGGUAGUUGGUGGGGUAAUGGCUCACCAAGCCGACGAUCCGUAGCUGGUCUGAGAGGAUGACCAGCCAGACUGGAACUGAGACACGGUCCAGACUCCUACGGGAGGCAGCAGUGAGGAAUCUUCCACAAUGGGCGAAAGCCUGAUGGAGCAACGCCGCGUGCAGGACGAAGGCCUUCGGGUUGUAAACUGCUUUUAUAAGUGAGGAAUAUGACGGUAACUUAUGAAUAAGGAUCGGCUAACUACGUG
rnacentral:rRNA from 1 species